rnacentral:rRNA from 1 species
GCCAGCAGCCAUGUCACCCUGCAACUUACAAUUGGCAGGCCAUUGAAGCUCAGCAGGUGUGAGCCUGGUCAGUAUCUGGAUGGGAGACCUCCUGGGAAAAACUAAGGUUGCUGCUGGAA